UACGUAGGGGGCUAGCGUUGUCCGGAUUUAUUGGGCGUAAAGAGCGUGUAGGCGGCCAGGUAGGUCUGCUGUGAAAACUCGAGGCUCAACCUCGAGACGUCGGCGGAAACCAUCUGGCUAGAGUCCGGAAGAGGAGAGUGGAAUUCCUGGUGUAGCGGUGAAAUGCGCAGAUAUCAGGAAGAACACCCGUGGCGAAGGCGGCUCUCUGGAACGCAACUGACGCUGAGACGCGAAAGCGUGGGGAGCAAACAGG
rnacentral:rRNA from 1 species